CGCAGGCUGCAACCCGCCUGCGUGAAGUUGGAAUUGCUAGUAACCGCGGAUCAGCAUGCCGCGGUGAAUACGUUCCCGGGCCUUGUACACACCGCCCGUCACACCAUGAGAGUCGGGAACACCCGAAGUCCGUAGUCUAACCGCAAGGAGGGCGCGGCCGAAGGUGGGUUCGAUAAUUGGGGUGAAGUCGUAACAAGGUAUC
rnacentral:rRNA from 1 species